rnacentral:rRNA from 1 species
CAAUAGCGUAUAUUAAAGUUGUUGCAGUUAAAAAGCUCGUAGUUGGAUUUCUGGUAGGAGUGACCGUGCCAGACUUGAUUGUCUGUGUAUUGUGUUGUCUCCAGCCAUCCUUGUGGAGAACUUUUCUUGCAUUAAUUUGUAGGGAUUGGGACCCGCAUCGUUUACUGUGAAAAAAUUAGAGUGUUUAAAGCAGGCAAUCGCUUGAAUACAUUAGCAUGGAAUAAUAAGAUAGGACUUUGGUACUAUUUUGUUGGUUUGCAUACCAAAUUAAUGAUCAACAGGAACAGUUUGAGGAUAUUCGUAUGAACAUGUCAGAGGUGAAAUUCUUGGAUUUUGAUCAGACGAACUACUGCGAAAGCAUUUAUCAAGGAUGUUNUCAUUAA